GUCUAUGGCCACAGCACCCUGAACGCAUCCUAUCUCAUCUGAUCUUGUCAGCCAAGCAGGGUUGGGCCUGGUUAGUAUUUGGAUGGGAGAAAGAACUCAAAUAUGAAAUCAUUUUACAUU
rnacentral:rRNA from 1 species